GCUUUAUUUAUAGAAGCAGAUAUACAUUGAGAUUCAUUUUCUUUCCCUUGCUGUAUUCUACCUAAACUCAUCCAAAAUAGAAAGAAACACGCAGACAUGCAAGUAAUAAACAAAUUGGGCCAGAUUCAUGCCUUAGCACAGCACCACAGAGGCCAAUGGAAAAAAAGCAUUUUUGAGCAGCUGAGAAUCUUUCCCAUUAUUUCUCAUGGAAAGGGAAGGGAGGGGUUUAAAACCAGAAAUUAUAAAACAAAAAGCAAAACCGACCAGGCAACAUAAUGUCCUGACUUGUGGCAGAGCAGAUCUGCAAUGCAAAAUCUCUCAGCCAAAAUCUGCAAUUCGAAGGAUUUUUUUUUCCUCCUGUGUUCCCAAUCACCAGAAAGUGCAAGAAUCGGAGUGCAGAGUGCUCCAAGCGAGGAAAAGUAAUGACUUAAAGCAAUUUACCUGCUGAAAGUGAGAAGACAUUGUCAGCGUACGCAGUCUGAGGCAAAGCAAAGCAGAAGAAAAGCAGCAGUUCAAGUGAGGAACAUGCCCUAACAUAGAUGUCUAACAUUGUCUUCAUACCCUGUUUUGGCUGCACAGGUAGAUGCUCUGCUGAAUCUGCACUUCUGGAAACAGUAUGACUGUAUGCAGAAUUUCUGCUGACAUGGCUGAAGGGCUGCUACAGCAGUACCAAGAGACUUCUCUAAUCCUCUCUGAAGCACUGAGAUAAGGAUGUUUUUUCUCACUCUCAAAAAAACCCAACAGAACAACAACCAAACUCAAACCCCAAACACAACCAUCUCCACUGCCCCCCUCCAAGUCUCCUUCACAUGACCACGGUAAAACAGCUGAAGCAUUACAUUUCCAGUUAUUGCAGCUCUCCCUAAGAGCAUUUAUUUCAUAAAAAUUUUCCAACUCUAUCUGAAGCUAACAAAAAUCACUGCAGGGAUCAGUAAGCAUCUGACUGGACUAGGGUCUAUUUCUAGCCUACUCCACAGCACUGUUCAUAAGGCAGAACCUCCCAGUUGUUAAUCUACUCAAUCAACCAUCACCUCCUUUCUGCCACAGCAAAUUACUUAGAAUAAUAACUAUACAAAAAUGAACCCUCAAAACCUAAACAGAAGACAGUUACCUGAUGUUCUGUUGUUUCUUUUGUAUUUUUUCAUACCUUUUCAA